UACGGAGGGUGCAAGCGUUGUUCGGAAUUACUGGGCGUAAAGGGAGCGCAGGCGGUGAUUUAAGUCUGAUGUGAAAGCCCACGGCUCAACCGUGGAAGGUCAUUGGAAACUGGGUCACUUGAAUAUAGAAGAGGAAAGUGGAAUUCCAUGUGUAGCGGUGAAAUGCGUAGAUAUAUGGAGGAACACCAGUGGCGAAGGCGACCACCUGGACUGAUACUGACACUGAGGUGCGAAAGCGUGGGGAUCAAACAGGAUUAGAUACCCCU
rnacentral:rRNA from 1 species